UUAGUUCAGGUGUCUAAAUCUGUCACAAUAAAGUAUGUGCUGUUAAACAUGUUUGGAUUGGAACCUUCUGGAGCCAAUGCCAGUACAGACAGCUAUAUUAAUCACAUGGGAGGUUAUCUUAUUUGAGAUUUUCUAUGCACCUCUGAGUCACAGUGUUUCAUCCAUCAAGGGUUUGCUGAAGACAUCUGUAAACUUUGAUUUAUUGCACUGUUCCUGGUACAGAAUUAAAUAGCAUUAUACUCAAAUAUAUUGCCUUAAUUGACAGGUAGAGAUUUAAUCCUGUUAAUUAUCUAGCCUGCUUGGAAGCUUCCAUUAACCCCUUGCUGGGUGGACAUGACUCAGGAACCAAAUCUCAGCAACUGUUUUGGGGCUCAGGGUGGAAUAGCAAGGCAUUCAAGGCAAGCCACACAUGGCUGAUGAAAGGCAAAGAGCAGCCAACUGGGACUGGCCCAGAGCCUUGCAGAACAGAUGAGGCUUUGAACCCAGUGUGGCAAAUUCCAGCACAGUGCAGGUGCACAGCAAGUGUUGCGUUAAACUGCAGAUGGGGUUGAAGUCAGCUCAUCUGAAAUUCCUGAAUGUGAGUUAAUUCUCCUUUGGGGCAAACUACUUGAGAAAAAUUUCUCAUGAUGUGCAAGUUUGGAUAUAUUGUACAGAAAAUCUU